CGCCCCCGGAGCCCCGCGGUCCGACCCGAAACCCGACGCCCGACCCGCCGGGUUUCCUCUCGCCUCGGGAGGUUUUAGGGCGCAAGGAAUUCUACAUUUUAGGCGAGGCAACGGGUGGAAUUUGAAAUACAGCGAGCUCACGGGGAGGAGAGUCAUCCUGAAGGUUUGACCCAGAGCCCUCCAAAGGCUGUUUUCAAGAUUGGGUGAGCUCCACGGACCCACCCCCAGCCCUCGCGCAUCAGGCGCAAAUCUAGGGUGCAGCAUUCACGUUCUGCCGUGCAUGACCCAGGGUGAUUGCCCAGCCCAGGUUUAACGGCAAGAGGGACCCUCUGUCACCCAAGGACAGACCAGCUGGGAGACGCAUGAAGUCUGACUCCUUUCCCAAAGCGACAGCUCCAUCUCUCUAGGGUCUUUGUUUUUGCUCUGCACGAGGCCUUAGGGUUCCUCUAGGUUGGUGGCUUGGGGAGACAAACGUGGCUGGCGAUCAAGUAAGAAAACAUGACAGCUUUUGCUGAGAACUGUGAUGGCGAAGGCGUCAAGCAGGAACUUGUGAAUUGAUGGACUCAGCACAACAAUACACAAACCAAUGGAAUACAGGUUGAACAUCCCUAAUCUGGACAUUUAAACUCCAAAAUAUGAAAAAAAAUCGGAAACUUCUCAAAAACCAACACGAUGCCGCAAGUGAAAAAUUCCAUACCUGAACUCGUGACAGAGCACCAGUUCCUAGACCAGUGCUGGUGAAUGGCACACCGUGCCCCAGCACGCCCCAGAGCCGAGUUGCCCCAGCAUCGCCCUAGCAGCCGAGCAUGGGAUAACAGUUCACUGUUGACACUUCGUGAUAGAUAAGUGGGUUUUGGUCUCUAAAAGGUUUAUCCUCACUGUCCUAGAACAAGGAGACGUCAUCCAACCUUUCUUUCUACAGCAGCUCCUAACAAAUAAAGAAGCUAGGGGAUCUGGGCCAUCCAGAUACAAUUCUCAAAGAAGCUGUCUUCUGGAGCCACUCUCUAAACAACAAUAGAGGAUCAGUGGGUAGGGGAAGAAUCAUGUUUGCUUUAGUCUUUAUUCUAUUUUUAUAAAUGUACCUGAACGCAUGAUGAAGCACCUUUUUGUGUGCUUAUCAUUUUAAAUCAAUACUGUUUAAAAAUAAUAAACCCAAUGUUGUAAUCAAUUGUAUAGCAGAAACAACUUUCUGACCUAGAAUUUAAGAGCAAUAAUAGCAUUCUGAAAGAGCCUGUGUGGAAAAUAGAACAACUCAAAAUAGAAAGCUGAUUGAAAAAAGAGUAUCUCUGGCUAAUGAGGUUAAGCCCUCAAAUAAGUUGUAAGGAAAAAAAUAUCAGUAAGCAAUAGCUUUCUAUUUAUUGAAACUUUCCUCAGAGACAGCCAGAAAGUCACUGGAAAAUAACUGAAGGACACCAACUAACAAGACUGACUUACAAAGAAAUAUACAAAAAUUAGAAGCAGAUUUUUAAAAGAUCUAAUGUUAAAUAAUAUAUUAAUAUCAGAUGAUAGAUUUACUAUAAUUGUUUCAUCUGUAAUUGUAUUGUUAUUAUUUUAUAUGGGACUGUGGUAUUACUGGCCUAUAAUUUUAUGAAUACAUGAGUUAUUUAGAGGGAGCAAUCAUUUAUUUACAAACAAAUCAUUUAACUUGCAUAGUUAAACUGAAGUGUCAUUAUCCAGAGUAUGUGCCUCUGAGUCUUAGUUCUUCAGGCUGCUAAUAGGCGUUAUACAUCAAAUGUGUUAUUGCCAAAUAACUUUAAGAGACAGAAGGUCAAUAAAAAUGUUUAGAAGUUA